rnacentral:rRNA from 1 species
UAUAUUCUUUAAAAUUAAAAUAUUUGGCGGUAUUUUAUUCCGUUCAGAGGAACCUGUUUAAUAAUUGAUAUUCCACAAUUUAAUUAACUUUUAUUUUUAAUUUGUAUAUCGUUGUUAUUUUGAAUAUUUUAUAAGAAUUAAUUUUCAAUUUUUAAAAUUUUAAUUUAUUUCAAAUCAAGAUGCAGUAUAUGUAAAAGUUAAAAUGGGUUACAUUAUAUUUAUAUUUAGUUUAUAAUUUCUAAAUUUAUAUUAAAUUGGAUUUGAGAGUAAUUUUUAAUUAUUAUUAUUAUUGAUUUAGGUACUAAAAUAUGUACAUAUUGCCCGUCGCUUUCAUUAUUUUGAAAUAAGUCGUAACAUAGUAGAUGUACUGGAAAGUGUAUCUAGAAAGACAAAUUAUAGCUAUUAGCUUUUUUAUUUACAUUAAAAAAUUAUUGAUUGUUCAGUUAAUUUGAAAUUAAAUAAAUUUAUUUAAAAUUAAUUUAUUGAACUAUCUUUUUUUUAUUAUUUACAUAGAAAAAUUUAAAUUAAUAAUAAUAAACUAGUGAAGUAAUUGAAUAUUAAUUAUAAUUGUUAUAGGAGAUUUAUUAAUUGGAAAUUAAAAGUUAAUCGUUUUUUAAUAAAUCUAGUUUUUUUAGAAAAAAAUUUAAUUUUAUCAUUAUUUUUAAUAUUUAAAUUAAUUAAAUAUAAAUUUUAAUAUUAAAUAUAUAUUGGGAUAAGCUUAUAUAUAUAAAUUUAAAAAAUUAUUAUUAUUUAUAAAAUGUAUAAUUUAAAUUAUUAAUCUUUAAUAUAAUUUAAUAAUUAAUUUUAUUUUUUUUUAUUUUUUAUUAGUUUUUAAAUUUUUUAUUUAAAUUUAAAUUUAAAUUUUAAUAUUUAGUAAUAAUGAUUAAAUUAGUAAAUAAAAAAUAUAAUUUAUAAAUAAAUUUAAGAUUAUGAAAAGGAAUUCGGCAAAUUAUCUUUCGCCUGUUUAUUAAAAACAUGUCUUUUUGAUUAUAAUUUAAAGUCUAAUCUGCUCAAUGAAAUUUUAAAUUGCUGCAGUAUCUUAACUGUACUAAGGUAGCAUAAUAAUUAGGUUUUUAAUUAAAAUCUAGUAUGAAUGAUUUAACGAAAAGAUUUCUGUCUCUUUAUAAUUAUUAUUGAAUUUUACUUUUAAGUUAAAAGGCUUAAAUAUAUUUAAAAGACAAGAAGACCCUAUAGAGUUUAAUUUUAUAAUUAAUUAAUUUUUUAGUAUUAAUAAUUUUAAUUUUACGUAAAAUUUAAUUGGGACGAUUUCAAGAUUAAUAAAACUCUUGUAUUUAUAAUCAUAAAUUUAUGAAUAAAAAAAUUAUUUGAAUAGUUUUAAAGUAAAUUACCUUAGGGAUAACAGCGUUAUUUUAUUUUAAAGUUCAAAUUAAAAAUAAAGUUUACGACCUCGAUGUUGGAUUAAAGUUAACUUAAGGAGCAAAAACUUUAAAGGUUAAGUCUGUUCGAC